GACGAACGCUGGCGGCGUGGAUUAGGCAUGCAAGUCGAACGGUAUCAUCCUUUCGGGGGUGAGAGAGUGGCGAACUGGUGAGUAACACGUAGGUUAUCUACCCUCAAGACGGGGACAACCCAGGGAAACUUGGGCUAAUACUGGAUGUGAGCAACUUUUAGUUGUUUGAAAGGUGGCGUAAGCUGUCGCUUGGGGAUGAGCCUGCGUCCUAUUAGUUAGUUGGUGAGGUAACGGCUCACCUAGGCAAUGAUAGGUAGGCGGCCUUAACGGGUGGUCGCCCACACUGGGAUUGAGAUACGGCCCAGACUCCUACGGGAGGCAGCAGUCGAGAAUAGUCUACAAUGGUCGGAAGACUGAUAGUGCGACGCCGCGUGAACGAUGAAUCCCUUCGGGGUGUAAAGUUCUUUUAUAUGUGAGCAGUGCUUCUUAUAUUAACAGUAUGGGGAGAGAGAUAUUAGCAUAUGAAUAAGCAACGGCUAACUCCGUGCCAGCAGCCGCGGUAA
rnacentral:rRNA from 1 species